rnacentral:lncRNA from 1 species
AUUAACUGGUUGGUCUUCACAAACACACAGCUAAUUGUUUGAAUUUUAAUAUUUUAGCAAAUUCGUUAUCUGAACUGUCAUCUUUUGAUAAACAUUCAAUAAACUUCAAGAUUGAAUCCUGUUUGAGAUUGAAUCCUGUUUUUUAUUCAAACAAAUAGAUCAUUAUUCGAAUAUACGUUGUCAUACGAUAAAAAAAGAAAACAAUGAAGAAAAGUUAUUUUAUUUUUUUUAUUCUUCUACUUGGUGUAUUUGCUGACCGUCGCACUGAAGUUAAGCUGCUUGAUCAUUUAUUCCGUAACUAUCAUCCAGAUGCAUUACCUACUUUACCUGGAAAAGGUGUCAACUUAACAUUUGAUAUUGCUUUAAGACAGUUGAUCC